GUAAAAGGGGACGCGGAGGAGAAGGAAAGUCGCUCAAGCAGUGGACAGAGCGGAGAAAGCGACUUCGGUGAAUGAAGGAGGGAAGAAAGGAGAGACAGAGAAAAUAUGGAUUUCCUCAUGGUUGUGAUUCCUCUUCACUCUUUUGAAUUUGGAAGGAUGGCAUACACAUCUGAAAAAUACCACUACUUCCUUCAUUGGACUGCAAGGUAUUUCUGUUUGGAAAAGUAAUGGAGUCCAGUCAACUUCAUUGAUCGCCAAGGACUGUCAAAAUUAUAAAACUUGCUGUGGAGCUCUGACAUGCCAGAAGCCGCUAGAAAAAGAAGUUUGACAUUCAGAAA
rnacentral:lncRNA from 1 species